UUGGCAUCAUGAGGAAAAAAAUAGAUUGUCCGAUCUACUAGAUGAAAAAUUCCUCCUACUCAUUCUGA